rnacentral:rRNA from 1 species
UACGGAGGGUGCAAGCGUUAUCCGGAUUUACUGGGUUUAAAGGGUGCGCAGGCGGAUAUGUAAGUCAGUGGUGAAAUCUCUAGGCUUAACCUGGAAAUUGCCGUUGAUACUAUAUAUCUUGAAUGCUGUGGAGGUAAGCGGAAUAUGUCAUGUAGCGGUGAAAUGCUUAGAUAUGACAUAGAACACCUAUUGCGAAGGCAGCUUACUACGCAGAUAUUGACGCUCAUGCACGAAAGCGUGGGGAUCAAACAGGA